rnacentral:lncRNA from 1 species
CAAUGUUCAAAAAUUUCAGGUCUUCUAAUGACACAAUUAUACUCAAGAAGCUCUGUUGUUAUCCAUAAUAUAUAAAGAAUGACUACAGAUCAACAAGAAAAAAGCCCAAUUUUAAGACGGAUAUUUCUAAGAAGAGAAAAUAUGCAUGACCAAUGAACAAUAUAAAAUAUGUUUAAACUGGAUGUGGUGGUGCACCCCUAUAAUCCCAGUGACUCAGGAGGCUGAGGCAGGAGGAUUGCAAGUUCUAGCCUAGCUUGGAUAACUUAGUGAGACCCUGUCUCAAAAAUAAAAAGGGCUAAUGAUGUAGCUCAGAGGUAGAGCCCACCCUUGGAUUUAAUCCCAAAUACAACACACACACACACACACACACACACACAAUGUGUUUAAUCAUUUUCAAAUGACCAUAUUGGGAAAAGAAAUAAUAAGUAUGACAAUACCAAGCAUCAAUAAGGAUAUGACAUAAUAGGAACUCUUAUAAACUACUUGUGGGAGCUUAAAUUGGUAUAACAUUUAAGUGUUACUUAGUAGUACUUACUAUUCUAUACCUCUGACCCAGAAUUUCAUGCUCUAGAGAUACCCUUACAUAGAUUUCCUGGGAGACAUGGGUGAGAAUGUUCUUUGUAACAUUAUAGAUAAUAGCAAAAACUAGGAAUGAUGUAAUGCCAUAAACUAAAAUUAAUUCAGAAUAGCUAAGUGAAUUUUGGUGUCUUUGCACAAACUUUGUAACAAUGAAAAUGAAU